CCAAAAGUGCAGAGGUGAGGGUGUGGCAGUAGCAACCAUACAAGGUCAGAACAGACAAGGUAUCUUGGCAAUGACUGUCAGAAGCUUGAAAAGUUUACCCAAGUGUCAUACACUUAUGGAGGGCUUUUAGUAUCAUACUUUUUAGGUCCCUCACCCGCUUCCAAGUACGGUAAAGGUUGAGAGCUACUACCUUAGGCAUUAAAUGUCGAGUCCUGUACUUGUAAUUAAGGUAGAACUACUACCUUUGUUAAUAAAUUUGAAGUGCAUUUAAAAACAGUGUGGUAAAUAGUAGUAUUAGCAGUAGCAGUAGAUAAUUAUGAUGAUGGUGGUAAUAACAGUUCUUUAGUAAUAGCUACUUAAUUUCUAUGUUCAUAGCCCUUUGAUAAGCACAUUGUAUUUAUUUUAUCACUGAUUCCUCACAGCAACCUUAAGAGACAGGAAUUUUUACUGUCUCCAUUGCAUAAUAAGGGA
rnacentral:lncRNA from 1 species